UGGGGAAUUUUGGACAAUGGGCGCAAGCCUGAUCCAGCCAUGCCGCGUGCGGGAAGAAGGCCUUCGGGUUGUAAACCGCUUUUGUCAGGGAAGAAAUCUUCUGAGUUAAUACCUCGGGAGGAUGACGGUACCUGAAGAAUAAGCACCGGCUAACUACGUGCCAGCAGCCGCGGUAAUACGUAGGGUGCAAGCGUUAAUCGGAAUUACUGGGCGUAAAGCGUGCGCAGGCGGUUUUGUAAGACAGAGGUGAAAUCCCCGGGCUCAACCUGGGAACUGCCUUUGUGACUGCAAGGCUUGAGUGCGGCAGAGGGGGGCAUGGAAUUCCGCGUGUAGCGUGAAGUGCGUAGAUAUGCGGAGGAACACCGAUGGCGAAGGCAAUCCCCUGGGCCUGCACUGACGCUCAUGCACGAAAGCGUGGGGAGCAAAACAGGAUUAGAUACCCUGGUAGUCCACGCCCUAAACGAUGUCAACUGGUUGUUGGGAAGGUUCCUUCUCAGUAACGUAGCUAACGCGUGAAGUUGACCGCCUGGGGAGUACGGCCGCAAGGUUGAAACUUAAAUGAAUUGACGGAGUCAUAGCUGUUUCCUG
rnacentral:rRNA from 1 species